rnacentral:rRNA from 1 species
UACGUAGGGUGCGAGCGUUAAUCGGAAUUACUGGGCGUAAAGCGUGCGCAGGCGGUUUUGUAAGCCAGGUGUGAAAUCCCCGGGCUCAACCUGGGAAUGGCAUUUGGGACUGCAAGGCUGGAGUGCGGCAGAGGAGACUGGAAUUCCUGGUGUAGCAGUGAAAUGCGUAGAUAUCAGGAGGAACACCGAUGGCGAAAGCACUCUGCCGGGCCGACACUGACACUGAGAGACGAAAGCUAGGGGAGCAAAUGGG